UAUAUUGUACUCUGCCGUAUACCUUGGAUAUAAUUUAGAUAAGAUAAUUUAAAUAAGAUAAUUUAGUGUGUCUGUCUAUUUGAAAAGGCUCAUGUUCAAUCUCCCUACUUUUAAAGCUGAUUUUUUCCCAGUGAAUAUGAAACUUAAUGAAGAAUAGUCUUGUGAACUGCAUCUUUAGAGGAAUGACUGGUUAGGAGCAUCAAAACACUGAACACUUACAUGGGCUCUGGAGAAGAUCAAUGCAGCUGGAAUUGAAUACAAGAAAACAUGGUUGUUUCGGAGAGGGCAACAGUUCAUGUGAGAAGCUGCCAGAAGCUUCCUCCAUGUCCAACAGAGCCAGUGCCAGCCAGCUCCAGAACUGACAUGCCACUGGUCAAGGCUGGGCCAAUUAGAAAUGAUGAAAAUCCCUCUGUGAUAACGUUUAACAAGGAUAAAAACAAAAAAAAAAGUUAUUGCACAGAUAUAAUUGUGGCCAAAGAUGAGUGGGAUGGAAAUGUAUGAGAGGAGCAACUGUGCAGACACCAUGGUCAGAGGAGAAGGUGGGGCAGGAGGUGCUCCAGGCACCACAGCUGAAGUUCCUCUGCAGCCCUUGGUGAAAAGCAUGAUGAAGCAGCUGUGCCUCUACAACCCGUGGAAGGACACAGGGAUCCAGAUAUCCACCUGCAGUACCUAGAGGAGCCCCAUGGUAGAGCAGGUGGAGGCCUGAGACAAGGCUGUGAUCCUGUGGGAGGCCCCUGCUGGAGCAGGCUUCUGGCAGGGACCUGCAGACCCAUAGAGAGAGGAGCCCAUGAUGGGACAGGUUUCCUGGUAGGAUUUGUGACCCUUUGGGGAACCCACCCAAGAGCAGUUUGUGCCUGAAGGACUGCACCUCAUUGAAGAGUGACCCCCACUGGAGCAGUUUGUGAACUGUUGCCCAUGGGAUGGACUCGCACUGGAGAAAUUCUUGGAGAACUGUCUCCUAUAGAAGGCACCCCACAUGGAGGAAGGUGAACCUAUGUGGAACUGACAACCUCCAUUACCUGUCUCCUUGCUCUGUGGGGGAAAGGACUUAGAGACUGGGAAGGAGGGAGGACUGGGGAGAAGGUGUUUUUAAGGUGUAUUUUACUUUUCAUUAUCCUGCUCUCAUUUUGUUUGUAAUAAGUUCCAUGAAUAUCCCCAAUUUGAAGCUGUUCUGCCUGUGAAGGUAUUUAGGCAAUGAACUCUUCUUAGCUCACCUCAUGAACCCUCCGUUACAUUUUCUCUUCCCUGCAGUUGCAGAGGCAAGUGACUGAGAGGUUUUGGUGGGUGCCUGGUGUCCAGCCAGGGUCAACCCACUAAUUAAAAAUACACAUUUGACAGGGGUUUAUGUGAGUGUGUCUGUGGUGGUUGUUAUCUUUUCUGUGCCCUUUUUGAGACAAAAUGUUCAUCUGCCAUAUUACAAGUCCCAUCCUCCUGUGACUUCCUUCACAUUCAAAGUGAAAUGUACAAAUUCCCGGGAUUUGGGACAGAGGAACAGAAAGACUUUCCUUUUCUGGUAAAUUGUGCUUGGUGUGAGAAGAAAUCCUUAAUUAAUAUUUUAUGCAGUAGCUAAAUUCCCUCCCUGAUGUGUUUUAGAUAAUUAAGUGCUGCCUAUAAUGUAAACUAUGGGAUUAGACAGCAGGUGUAUGCUUCAGGUAGCCAUAAACGCUUUCAGAAGACUUUGAAAUAUCAAUAUCAGUUAAAAGGUCUUAGUGGGAAGAUACAGUGCCUUUGUUCACAGAAUGAUAUCAAGUUAUCAUUCAGCUGUGACAAAAAGAUAGUUAACUGGAUGCUCCAAGAACAUGCAUCCUCUUCUGAAGUCCACGUGUACUGAAAUUAUCCUGUGCUGCUUUCAGGACAGGUUUUGUCAGACUCCCCGUUUCCUACAUGCAUGACAUACCUGCCAAGGAUGCUGCUUGAGGCAAAACCAUUCUGCAUUUGGGUUUUUCAUCUCUUCCUCUAGCAAGGCUUUCCUAAAUUUCUUAUGAUUUUUGUUGACCCUACUCUUUUCAUGUUAUUAUUUUCUUCCUUACUUUCCAUACUUCUAAGGAAAUACUUUAGCAGUUCAACCACCUGAAUAAUUGCUAAGAGAAUGAGUGGUUAUUGCAUGUUAAACAUCCAGAUGAAAUGAGUUAGCAACAGGCAUUGUCCAAUGGAAGAGAUUUAAAAUUUGUGAAAUUAUUUAAUUUAAAGAAAUUAUAAUUUUAAAAAUUUAAAAGUAAUCUGGUAACAUAAAAUAAAUCAUAAAAUAUGGUACAUCUUUAUUUUUUUCCCAGCAUAUAAUGUGCAUAAUAGUUUUGACAGUUAUCAAAUUGCUAUUUUAUAGCUUUUUAAGGAAUAUACAUAUACAAAUAUAUAUAUUAAUUAUUUCCAAGAGCUAGGAAAUGUUUACAGUGGAUUUAAAUGCAAUAUUUCACAUGAGCAAUUCUUUCCUUUUUACCUGUGAUGCUCAUAGAAAAAGGUAUGUUCCACUCUGGUCUAUCUUUCUGCUGACUUAGCUUCAAGAAUGCACAUUUUAGUGACAACAGCAUCAGCAGAACGGA
ensembl:lncRNA